CCUGGUUGAUCCUGCCAGUAGCAUAUGCUUAUCUCAAAGAUUAAGCCAUGCACAUGUAAGUACACACGGCCGCUACAGUGAAAUUGUAAAUGGCUCAUUAAAUCUGUUAUGGUUCCUUUGAUUGCUCCAUCAGUUGCUUGGAUAACUGUGUUAAUUCUAGAGCUAAUACAUACUGACAAGCACUGACCUCCUGGAUGCAUGAAUGCAUUUAUCAGACCAAUUCUGGCACGCCGGUGGCUUCUGUGACUAUAGAUUACCUUAGGGCGAUCGCAAGUCCUGUGACGGCGACGAUGCAUUGGGAUGUCUGCCCUAUGGCUUUUGUGCCUACCAUGGUGACCACAGGUAACGGGUGAGAGGGAGCCUGAGAAACUGCUACCACAUCCAAGGAAGGAAACAGGCGCUCAAAUUACCCACUCCCGACUCGGGGAGCUAGUGAUAGAAAAUAACAAUACAAGACCCUUUCGAGGACCUUUAAUUGGAAUGAGUACACUUUAAAUCAUUAAGCAAGGAUCCAUUGGAGGGCAAGUCUGGUGCCAGCUUCAAUAGCAUAUAAUAAAGUUGCUGCAGUUAAAACCUUGUUGUUGAAUCUUGGGAUCCAGCUGCACGUCUACUGCAAGGCAACUUGCCACCUGUCCCGGCCCUUGCCUCCCAGUGCCCCCUUGAUGCUCUUGGCUGAGUGUCGUGGGAGCCUGAAGUGUUUACUUUGAAAAAAUUAGAGUGUUCAAAGCAGGCCGGUCACCUCAAUACUUGUGCUUAGAAUAAUGGAAUAUGACUCCAGUACUAUUUUGAUGGUUUUUAGAUCUGGAGCCAUGAUUAAGAGGGAUGGCCAGGGCAUUCAUAUUGUGCUGCUAGAGGUGCAAUUGUUGGAACAGCGUAAGAUGAACCAAAGUCAAAUCAUUUGCCAAGAAUGUUUUUAUUAAUCAAGAAUAAAAGUCGUAGUUCCGACCAUAAAUGAUGCCGACGAGCAAUCCAGUGGUUUUAUCCCCAUGAAGUGCCAAGCAUCGUCCUGGAAAGCAAAAUCUUUGGGUUCCGGGUCGAGUAUGGUUGCAAAGCUGAAACAUAAAGGAAUUGAUAGAAGGGCACCACCAGAAGUGAACACUGUGGCUUAAAUUGGCCUAACACAGGAAACCUCACUGGCCAGGACACAGAAAGGAUCGACAGAUUGAUAGAUCUUUCUCGAUUGUGUGGGUGAAGGUGUAUGUCUGUUCUUAGUUGGUGGAGCAAUUUAUCUGGUUAAUUCCGAUAACGAACAAGACUCCUCCAUGUUAACUAGUUACGUGACGCCCAGUGGUCGGCAUUCAACCUUUAUUGGGACAAGUAGCGUACACACCACCCAUCACUACUACCCAUUGGAUGGUUUAGUGAGGUCCCCGGAUCAGUCGGCAACAGCCCUGGGUGGAAGUGCUGAGAAGACGAUCAAACUUGACUAUCUACAGGAAGUAAAAGUUGUAACAAGGUUUCCAUAGAUGUAUGUGUGGAAGGGUCAUUA
rnacentral:rRNA from 1 species